CUCAGUGCCACAGCCCUCAACAACUAGCCCUGAAACAACAGUUGUAACUUCAACAUCAACCGUUGAGACGGAGACAACAGUGACUACAUCAGUAACAACAGAAGGUACUACAGAAAAACCCACUGAAAUUACAACCUCAGAGGUUUCAACAGCUGCGACUGUAUCAACAACAAAGCCACUUAAAGAAGAAACCACUGGCACAACAACUGCUGCUACAACAGCUGUAGUUGAAACAACCACUUCAGUGCCACAGCCCUCAACAACUAGCCCUGAAACAACAGUUGUAACUUCAACCUCAACUGUUGAGACGGAGACAACAGUGACUACAUCAGUAACAACAGAAGGUACUACAGAAAAACCCACUGAAACUUCGACAUCCGAGGUUUCAACAGCUGCGACUGUAUCAACAACAAAGCCACUUAAAGAAGAAACCACUGGCACAACAACUGCUGCUACAACAGCUGUAGUUGAAACAACCACCUCAGUGCCACAGCCCUCAACAACUAGCCCUGAAACAACAGUUGUAACUUCAACACCAACCGUUGAGACGGAGACAACGGUGACUACAGUGACUACAGCAGUAACAACAGAAGGUACUACAGAAAAACCCACUGAAACUUCGACAUCCGAGGUUUCAACAGCUGCGACUGUAUCAACAACAAAGCCACUAAAAGAAGAAACCACUGGCACAACAGCUGUGGUUGAAACCACUACCUCAGUGCCACAGCCCUCAACAACUAGCCCUGAAACAACAGUUGUAACUUCAACACCAACCGUUGAGACAGUGACAACAGUGACCACAGUGACU
ensembl:lncRNA